ensembl:lncRNA
GGAGCAAGGGCUUGUGGGGAUUGAAGUCCAGACAUCUAGUCUAUUUUUUUACAGCUAGAAGUAUUGGGUACAUUGAAAGAAACUGAUAGAUAACAAAGGAAGAAUCUUUAUGUAGCAGCCCACUCAUAACUAGGGGCAAGGGGAACAGUCAGUCUUGGGCAUGCUCAGUAGUGCUCAUGGCUGGGAAGGCCUCUGACCCUUGACCCCAGCUUCUCCCAGGUUAGGCGGGAAAACAGGUUUCUUUGUUCUCACCUGGUUAAGAGAAACCACACCUACGCCUUGUCAUUGACCAAUGAGGGUCAUCCCUAUGUACUGUGUAUAUUUGCAUAUCAAAAACUAUAUCUAGCCCAGCAGGCUCCGCCUUCGCUCUCUCUGCCCUCUGCUCUCUGCUCGCUCCUUCUCUUUCAGGCUACCUGAUGGCUGUCCUCGCAGGAGCUUGGCCUCUGGCCAAGCUCCAUCUUUAAUCUUUCUCUAUUCACCUCUCUGACCUGCGUGGAAUGGAUCUCAGGACUGGAAUAGCCUACUGAAUUGGUCCUUUGAUCAGAGCUUAGCUGUGGCUCAUUGAUAAUUAAUAAAGACUCAUUCUGAACACCUCAUAUCUCUAUUAGGACUCCGUCACUUCCCUCGUGGUAUCAAAACUUCUAUCCUGUCUCUAUCUUCCUACCUUGUGGCUUCUCUCACCUCAGAGAGAGCUACAGAUGGCGCCCAAACGUGCUUAGGGCCCCCUCCUAGCACUCUCGUGGCAUUCCACUCUUUUAUUUCACACAGCGAAUGGGAGAACGCGUUCGAGGACACGAGGCUAAUAGUAGGCGGGUGCCGGAAGUCCAGGAAGGUUGCCGAUCCUCUGGCCAAGGACGAUAAUGAAAACAUCUGGUCUCCCACGUCAUGCUUCAUGCCAGCUGAUACAGACCAGGAAGAGAAGCAGACGGAAGGUGAUGGCAUCAGCUAUCUACAUGCCAGCCACAAUCCAGACUCGCGGGAAGGACACUUCUUUGGUGACUAAUAUCACUCUAGAACAAUGACAUUACACUAUUAGAGACAUUGGCUAUUAGGCCACUGAAGGACACUUGUCAUGCUGUCAUCCAUUGAGAUGGGGUACCCAGAGCAACAUCAAGUAUGCUAACUCAGAAGGACUAAAUCACACUUGUGUCUGUACAAGACACCAGAUACAUCCCACAUUCCAAAGACUUUGCGAUGGGAUUGAGAUGAAAUAGCUACAAAUUGUCUAGCUACUAAUGUAUACCUUGUAUUUUGUAUAUGAUACUGUCAAAAGAAAUGUAUAUUGUAUGCAUUGUAAAGCUACCACUUGUAUUGUAAGAAAUGCUGUUAUCAACAAGGGUAUAGACCUUGGUAGGACUCUCCAAAGAGUAGGAGAUAGAAAACUCUCAUCCAUAGGAUAGAUCUGAUACCUCUGACAUCAAAAAUGAGGUGCUAAGCAGAAAAUGCUGCACAGACAGGUUUAAUGGACAGAUGACACUGAUGUUACUCUCGAGAAAGAAUGAGAGAUCAGGGAAAAGACACUAGGAAAUCUUUAAUCAGGAACCUGAGUUAUUGUAAGAGAUCAUUGACAUCCAGGCAAAGAUUAUGUUCCUGACAUUACCUCGGAUGGACAUUCAUGGGUUG